GAUGAACGCUGGCGGCGUGCCUAAUACAUGCAAGUCGAGCGAACAGACGAGGAGCUUGCUCCUCUGACGUUAGCGGCGGACGGGUGAGUAACACGUGGAUAACCUACCUAUAAGACUGGGAUAACUUCGGGAAACCGGAGCUAAUACCGGAUAAUAUAUUGAACCGCAUGGUUCAAUAGUGAAAGACGGUUUUGCUGUCACUUAUAGAUGGAUCCGCGCCGCAUUAGCUAGUUGGUAAGGUAACGGCUUACCAAGGCGACGAUGCGUAGCCGACCUGAGAGGGUGAUCGGCCACACUGGAACUGAGACACGGUCCAGACUCCUACGGGAGGCAGCAGUAGGGAAUCUUCCGCAAUGGGCGAAAGCCUGACGGAGCAACGCCGCGUGAGUGAUGAAGGUCUUCGGAUCGUAAAACUCUGUUAUUAGGGAAGAACAAAUGUGUAAGUAACUAUGCACGUCUUGACGGUAACUAAUCAGAAAGCCACGGCUAACUACGUG
rnacentral:rRNA from 1 species